ensembl:lncRNA
UCUUUUUGUAUUUUUAUCUUAUCAUUAUUCUUUAUAUUAUUCUUUAUAAAUAUUAUGUUAUUUCUUUGUAAAUGUAUGUGUAUCUUGGCAUAUUAUUUGGGAAUCAAGUGUGCCCAACAUUUAGUUUGUUCAGAAUUAAAAGAGAAUUUAUUCCAUAGAGGGUAAUGCAACUACAAGCAAAAGAAAAAGUUCCCAACUGGUUUCGAUACUCGAACCAUUUCACCUGACAUCCCUGUAGUAUUUCUUCAUUUCCCUUUCAUCUUUAUCCUGGGAAGCAAACUCUAUCAAUCUUCAGUUUCAGGCAUGACUUAGAAAAAUGUAAUUUUGUUCUUAAUAUUUGGCUGCUUUCUUCGUAAUGCGCACAGCAGCAAUAGGCAGACAGCAGAAAUCGGUGGAAGUAGAAGUAAUAUUCCAAAAGACUCAGUGGUUGGGGUUGUGUUGCCAAUGAAAUAAUGUUUGUUCUCACGCCUUUUGCUUAAAUUAUAUUUUUGGGAAUGUGCUACAAUAAGAACAGAAAAAAAGCUGCCAAAGUUACCUGGGAUGUUGGUACCAGCCUCUGAGAGAAUCCUGGCCUCUUCUCCAGAGCUGCACUAUGACACCACUACAUUGUACAUUCUGACAACUGGUGCUAUUUUACUCUACAUCUGUGGUGCUGGUUUCCCUCGUGAGCUAUUUGCUUCAAAUGAUAAUGUAGCUACACUUUCCUGUACUGUAAACUGGAUGCUUGUUUGAAGCCAGGAUUGGAAGUUAUAGGAAUGAAUACACAAGGCGGACAGAUUAUCUCAAUGUUGUUGUUUUUUUGAAGACAAACGAUUUGGAGGGCAACGUUUCUGUUGAAGAGAUGCAAAAUUGUUGUCAAUUGUUUUGAUUGUUUUUCAAUACAACCCAUGUAACAUUUGCGAAGACUUUUUGUCUUGAUUCUGUUUUCACUCGGUUCAUGCUGCAGGGAAUAAAACAGAUCGGACUCAAAGUGUCAACUUUCAUGUUUCGGGGAAAUUUGAGAAAACACCUUAAAGGUGAUUUUUAUGUCAAAUGUUACAGUGUAUGGGUGAUAUGUGUUUGGUGCUGAGCCAGGGUCAAAACACAUAUCUUCCCAUGCAGUGAAUCCGUCAUGCCUGUUGGAAAUUCUUAAAGGAUUUCAGGAUUACUUUUAAUUGGUACAUGCAUACUGUCUAUGCUUCCUUCAUGUUUAUAAAGCAGCACCAAUGGAGUCUGGUGUAUUGACUGGAAUCUGCUUAGCAGCAAACUCGAAAAUCUCUUUUCCACCCUUGAGUUUGCCAUGUCAAGACCAUAGACACUUGGCAUUCCCAUGCCAAGUGACAUUUGUUUCUUGUAAAAAAGAAACUCACAUUUUCCCAUGGGCAGUAAUACAUAUUGGCGUAAUAGAUAUACCAGAAGCCUGUAUAUUUAUUUGGUUAUUUUCAAUACACUAGAAGCAGUGCAAGUAUAAAUUCACAAGCUUCUUUUUUGUGUACAAUAUAAAAUGUUAAGUCUUCCAGAAUUACCCUGUCCCUCUCCAACACACACGCACACACACAUAUAUACAUCUUCAAAAAGUCAAUGUGUCAUCAAAACUUUCCAAGAAAAGAACAAUAACAAGAAACAUUGUUUUACUUUUGUUAUUGAUAUCAAGCCACAUACAACUUACCUCAGAAUGACUGAGCCCCCCCUCCACACACACUACAAUAUGUACCCCUCGGUUUCUCCACUCCCCACCUCUUAAGAGAAGUCAUAUCUUUUGAUUGAAGCUUUUUUCUUUGAUAUAUCUAUAUGUAUGUAUAUUUGUUGGCACAAACACUAACAAGAAUGUAUGGCUACUGUAUUUCCUAUUCACCAUCACGGCCCCUCAAAGUUGAAGCUUUUAAAGCAACUGAAUAGACCCGUCGACUUUUGUAUCUCCAAUGUCUUGGUAUGCUUGUUGUAGUUGUAUAUUCAUAAUGGUG